rnacentral:lncRNA from 1 species
GGAACUGGGCCGAUUUUUCUUUUUGCCCAGCCCAAAUCCCUUAACCCUUUCACAGGCCCAAAUAAACACCCUAACCCGGUCCAAAACCCAUUUCCCCUUAGAGACACGCAUAUAGCGUGACCCCCUCCCCUUUCUCUUAUUCGUUUUGGGGGAGAGAUAAAAACGAGAUAAAAAAACAGACCCCGGCGAUAUACAGAGAGGGACGAAUCUGACGGGAGAGACCUUCCAUUUCCUCCAUUUCUCUCCAAAACCUUUACACCAUUAACGCUGAUGCUAGCCCGCUCUCCCUCUCUCUCAUUCAUCUACAUACACACACGAAAAGGGAAAGAAACCACACUUGAAUUCUCAACUUUCAGAUCUAGAAAAAAUUGAAAAAAGGAUUUAAAGCUGUUUGAGUUUUAUACAAUUGCCGCCUAUUUCUGGGCCUUUGCAAGCUGUUUUGAGUUGAAGAAGUUGAUCGAUUUCUGCUAUUCUUCCUUCUGUUGUUGAUUGCUGUUAUUAUGUGGUUUCCGCCGAAUUCAUGGCCUAGCUCCAGUUUUUAUUUUUGUUCGUUUUGGUCCGGCAGUGAGGUAAAACAUAAAACUCUUGAUGUAUUUGAGUGUUCAAAAAAAAAAAAGAGCUUGCGAUCUAUUUGGGAUCCGUAUGAUAUUUGUUUUGCUCAGAUUUUUGUAUUAAAAUGUCUCCUUAAUACCGAAUCUGAUUAUGCCUUGGAGCUACAGCUCACAAGUGUUAAUUUGAGCUUUUAAAAUUCAAUAUGUGUUGAUUUGAUUAACAGUUAAAAUGUUGCUCUACGUUAUUCGACUUGUGUGAUAAUCUCCCUGAUUUGGUUUAAUUUAGUUUAUAUCUUGUCAAAGUUUGUCGGUUAGAAAUUAUGUCGAUUUUCGAAGUUACCGGAAAUGAUAGUUGAUGUGAAAAGCUUCGACACUAGCGUGCUUCAGUUCUUAAUUUCUAGUCCAUUCUAUGAUUCAUGUUAUGAAUGGUUGCAACAUCUCUGCCAUAGUCAUCUUAUCAAUUAAUUGUAGACAUAGAAACUCUAGAAUUGGAGUAGAACCAUACAGCUGUGCACACUAAACACCAGGUAUUAACAGGACAAGGGUGACGUGAACAAAUCUGAUGUUCUUUGGAUAAAAAUGGAAGAGGAAACAAGCAAAUUCAAUUAAAAAAAUCUGAUUAGUUUGUAAUUUGAUUUUUUUGAUGCAACGGAAACGGCUGUUAGUAUAACAUCUGGAGAGACAAAGGCAUACACUUCUAGUUCUAUGCUCUAUGCGAGUGUUAACAUGAUUAUUUGCCUGUAUGUGUGUGCUUGUUCAGUUGGUAUUCUUUUUCACUUGUGUUGGACCGAUCUAUUGGAUAUAAUUAGCUUUAGAUCUAUUUCUUUUUUUGCUUUAGAUAUUAUUUACAUAUGAGUUUGUAUCUUCCUUUUAUUUUCCAAAGUUCUAGUUGCAUAUGUUUGAUAGAAUCUAUAGCUUGAAGUUGAAACGCACACAUGUACUGUGUUAUGCAGUAAGCUGGGUAUUUAGGCACAAUAUGAAAUUCAAUGUGAAUAUUGCUAGGGAGAAGUGUUCAUUUCUCUUCAGUUUCAUGCUUACGAGUAAUGACAACUGUUAAUGUAGGGUGGUCUGUUUAAAUUGUGAAGCUAUACAAUGUUGUCCGAUAAUCUGGUAUCCAUAUCCAUAAUUCAUGGCCUCUUUGUGAUCUUAAAUUAGCUUUAGAAAAAUGGUAAUGAAUAGUCGUAGUUUGCUUUAGUUGAGUACAAUCCUUUGAAAUUAGAAUUGAUGUGUGCCAUUAGUUGAAUUUUCCAUGGCCCUCAUAAACUUGGAAGUGCGUAGUUGCUUUAGGCGCGCUAUUUAAAAAUUACCUUCUUAAAUUCGGGUGUGCAUUUCAUGCGACCCAAAUCUUAAUCCCAAAAUAUUGAAUAAAAUGUGUUUAGGAUUGCGGAUGCAUUUCAUGUGACGUGAUCCAAAGACAUGUUUUAAACGACGUUCACUUUCUCUUAAAAAUACAUAUUGAAUAAAAGCGGUUAAAGUAAAACUGCACAUAAGUUCAUCAUGCAAUAAAAUCAGAUAAAUAAGUUAAAUGCGAUAGUUGAGUGGCCGUACUAGAACCACGGAACUCGGGAAUGCCUAACACCUUCUCCCGGUAAACAGAAUUCCUUAUCUGGAUUUCUGGUUUGCGGACUGUUAAAUCGUCAUGCUUUUCCUCGGUUCGGGAUUCAACCGAUGACUUGGGACACCAUUAAUCUCCCAAGUGGAGACUCUUAAUAAAUAGCAACAAAUCCCAUUCCGAUUGUCCUUUAAUUGGAAAAACUCCUUUACGCCCUUGCGGGGUGCAAUGAAAAAGGCGGUGUGACAGCUCUGGCGACUUUGUUGGGGAUAAGAACCCAGAACGUUUUGUUCAGGGUUUAGAAUUUGAGCUUGGAAUAAUUAUUAUGUUUGGCGUUAUCUGAUUUUGUUAGUGAUCUGUGCCUAAGGUUUUAAUUGACUGCUUUUACUGCUUUGAUAGUAUGUGAAUUGUAUAUAAACUGUACCGAAACCCAUCUCCUCUCUGAGUCUUCUAAAUCAUGAUGAAGGGUGCACUUCGUGUGACUUCUUUUAUUUAUAGUGUCUAAUUCCCAAUUUAGAACAAGGUUUGGAUAAGUUGCAAAGCCUGUGAAGCUUCUGUAUUCCGGGUACACUGCCUCCUCCUCGGCUCGAGCUUUCCGCUAGGGUAAGCCAGGUUUAGAACAAACACCCAUGUUUUGAACCUAGAAUUACUCAACAUCAUGCCGGAUUCCUAGUAGGAAUGCUUAUCUGCAUCAUGUGCAUUUGACUUAAGGGAUUCAACACAGGGGCUGGGUCUGUUUAGGGCUAGCAACCUGAAAUGAAAAAGACCAUCUUGACGCAUCCUACUUUUGUUCUGUGCAUUUAUUUGUUUCGGACCCGCAUGUUGACCGGCUUUUGAAUCUCGGAACUGUUAGAAAAUUAAGAAAAAAGAGAAAGAUAGAAAAAUAGCAGUUCGAGAGUUAACUGAUUGUUUUGGAAAAAUCAAUGCCCAAGUAAUGUCGAAACUCUGCCGAAAUUUUGAAAAAAAAGAAAAAAAAGAAAAAGUUUAUUUUUAGUAGUUUGUUUCACUAAAAAGCAAAGGAAAAAUAGAAAAAAAGAGUAUUUCAUCUUUGAAAAUUGCUUGCCGAAAAAAAGAAAGGAGUCUUUAUUUUAGUUUGGGGAAAUAGGUUGUUUGUUGAAAAUGAAAAGAAAAAAAAGAGUCGUUAUUUAGUCUUGUUGUCGGAAAUGAAAAAGUGAAAAGUAGUUUGUUUUGCCAUAGAAAAUGAAAAGAAAAAGAAAAAGAGUCUUUUAUUUUUAGGCUAUUUUAUUGUUUGUUAAAGAAAAAGAAAAAGAGUCUUGUUUUUAAAAGUAGUUUUUUUAUUUGCUUAUGAAAUGCCCAAAAAUAAAAAUGAAAAGAGUCUUAUUUUCAAAAAUAGUUCGGUUAAUUUGCCGAAUUACGCAUGGUUUUAUUCUUACAGGGCGUGAGAUAUGUAGGCAAUCUUCAUCGGGUCCAACCUCCCCUUUACAAAAAAAAAUAUAGCCCAAAAAAUGUCAAAAUUUUAAAUUUUUUCAUAAAUAAACCAGGUGAUGCCGUUUCUGUCAAAAAUAGCCAAAUUUUCCAAAACGGGGCGCCUGAAGGCUGACUUUGCAUAAACAAUCACCUUUGGUCAUAUUUUGAUUUUUGACCCUCACAACUUUAAAAUCUUCGUCCCGAGGCGCUGGAAGGCCGUGUUUGCAAUACCGGGUCACUUAUUUUAAUUUGAAAAACAAGAAAAAGAGUCAGUGGUCAAGUGAAUACCAUUCGGAUUUUGGGUCAAAUUUGGAAUAUAGGGGAAGGAAUAUGUCAUUUUGUUUUUGGGUUUGUAUUUCUUUUGAUUAGAGUAUAUGGGUCGUUUGAUUUUCAAGUCUAUAUUUCAUCGUUAAGUUGGUCAGUUUUGUUGUUAUUAUGAAAAUGAAAAAUUCCAAAAAUGUUUUAUUGUUGUUUACCUUUUAUUACAAGAACUACGGUCUGAUUCAUGCGGGUCAUGAUACGUAGGCAAUCUCUAUAAGAUUCGACCACAAAAAAAUGGAAAAAAAUGAAUAAAAAAAUGGAAAAAGAUGUUGUUAAUAAUGAGGACCGACUGAAUCCAUUCUAACAUGUUUUGUUUUGAAUUGUGAAGAAAGUUGAGGUGGUUGGUUUGUGGUAAGUCUGAUUCAUGCGGGGUCAUGGUACAUAGGCAAUCUCCAUAACAUUCGACCACAACCAAAAAAACAAAACCAAAAAAACAAAAAAAAAGAAGAAAAAAAGCAAAAGAAAAAAUGGAAAAGAUGUUGUUAAUAAUGAGGACCGACUCAAUCCAUUCUAACAUUUUUUUUGAAUUGUGAAUAAUGUUGAGGUGGUCGGGUUGUGGUAAGUUGGAAACACAAGAUCUGAGGAAAAAUGAUAACCGACAUCGAAGUUGUUGCAAGUGCUCAAGAGACUCAGGGACAGAGGGUUCAACUAGAGUCUACGGGGUUUGAGAAAAAUAGAACACCGAAACAGAAAAUGAUUGAAAUACGUCAAGCAUGGGCAAAUGGUCAAGGAGAGCCUUGGUGUGAGAAUCUUGCCCGAACGGGAGUACAGGAAGAAAUAACCCAA